rnacentral:rRNA from 1 species
AACGAACGCUGGCGGCAUGCCUAACACAUGCAAGUCGAACGGGAUCCAGGCUUCGGCCUGGUGAGAGUGGCGGACGGGUGAGUAACGCGUGGGAACCUGCCCAAUGGUCUGGGAUAACCGCGGGAAACUGCGGCUAAUACCGGAUAAGCCCGAGAGGGGAAAGAUUUAUCGCCGAUGGAGGGGCCCCGCGUCCGAUUAGGUAGUUGGUGAGGUAAUGGCUCACCAAGCCGACGAUCGGUAGCUGGUCUGAGAGGAUGAUCAGCCACACUGGGACUGAGAUACGGCCCAGACUCCUACGGGAGGCAGCAGUGGGGAAUAUUGGACAAUGGGGGCAAGCCCUGCAUCCAGCAAUGCCGCGUGAGUGAUGAAGGCCUUAGGGUUGUAAAUGCUCUUUUGGCGGGACGAUGAUGACGGUACCCGCAGAAUAAG